UACGUAGGGCGCAAGCGUUGUCCGGAAUUAUUGGGCGUAAAGAGCUCGUAGGCGGCUUGUCACGUCGGAUGUGAAAGCCCGGGGCUUAACCCCGGGUCUGCAUUCGAUACGGGCAGGCUAGAGUGUGGUAGGGGAGAUCGGAAUUCCUGGUGUAGCGGUGAAAUGCGCAGAUAUCAGGAGGAACACCGGUGGCGAAGGCGGUUCUCUGGGCCUUACCUGACACUGAGGAGCGAAAGCGUGGGGAGCGAACAGG
rnacentral:rRNA from 1 species